GUGAUGGUAUCUAGUGUCUCCCAGCGAGAUUUGUUCCUUCUCUUAACAGUUACUAUUAAGAACAAAUUUAUGUUUCCAGCAAAAAAGUUGGCCAGCCCCAGCAAAAAAAAAGAACAGUUCCAGCAAAAAAAGAUCGCCGCCGUGGUCACAGGUGUCAACAAGCAGUCUUCGGAAUCAUCAAUAAGCCAACAGCGAGAAAUAAGUUCAAGAAUUGAGUUCCCUUAACAGGGAAAUAAGGAAGGGAAGAAACAAAUAGGGAACAAUCAGAUGAAGCAUCAAGGAAAAUGGAUUGAACAAUCAGAUGAAGCAUCAAGGAAAAUGGAUUGAACAAUCAGAUGAAGCAUCCAACUCGAGGAGAAGCAUGGUCUGCAAGGAGACCAAUCAUCUUGAGGUGGUUCUUUCAGCUACUGCAUGUUCCAUUACGGAGAAGGGUACUUAGUCGAUCUUAGGAGCCAGACUCUGCUUUCCUUGCAGGGAGAAUUUCAAUAAAUGGUUGUGUGUCAAACAUCACUUCAUGUUGUAGUCCAUUUUUUCCUUUCAAAAGCCACAUUAUGAAAUUUGGCUUUAUAAGAAGUUUCACUUUAUUAUUAGUGGAGAACGGGAGAUAAGGAAAGGGAAGGGAAAAACAGUAAUUCUAGCAACUAGCCAUUGUUCCGUGGCAAAACACAGGUGUUUGUUCUAUUAUGUCCAUCGGAAAUCUUUACGGAGGAGUUGGGACUGAGUGAGUGACAUAGAUUUGCUUGAGGUCACAAAUUCUUUUCUGCUGUUACUUGCAUCUUACUUGAAUUUUUUUCUUCAAGUUCUUCCUGUUUUCCCAUAUCCUCUGCUCUAUAGAAGCUGCUACAUCAAAUUAAGUAAGUGCAUCCUUCUUUUUUGUCCAAGUUUGUUCUAUUCUAUUACUCAGAAGUCUGUACAAGACUGAGAGAGUGAAGCAUAUUUGCUUGAGAUUUGAAUACUUUUUUGAUGUCGGGUUUGUACGCUAUACAGUUUGAUUAAUGAAAACUGAUAAAAGUAGUGGCAAACACUUGAUUGAGUAAGCUACUGGAUUUUACCAGUAAUACACAGUAGUUUCUUGCAAUAUUAUCUGCAUGACAAGAAACACCCAUAUUUGAUUUUGCUCUGUGAUUGGUUCAAAUAUCACUUUUUGGCUAAAGCUGAUUGGAUACGAGUAGUAGUGCCAACAGUAAUAACUUUAAAUAUGAUUUUAUCAUGGCUC